GAUGAACGCUGGCGGCGUGCCUAAUACAUGCAAGUCGAGCGAACAGACGAGGAGCUUGCUCCUCUGACGUUAGCGGCGGACGGGUGAGUAACACGUGGAUAACCUACCUAUAAGACUGGGAUAACUUCGGGAAACCGGAGCUAAUACCGGAUAAUAUAUUGAACCGCAUGGUUCAAUAGUGAAAGACGGUUUUGCUGUCACUUAUAGAUGGAUCCGCGCCGCAUUAGCUAGUUGGUAAGGUAACGGCUUACCAAGGCAACGAUGCGUAGCCGACCUGAGAGGGUGAUCGGCCACACUGGAACUGGAACGCGGACCAGACUCCUACGGGAGGGAGCAGUAGGGAAUCUUCCGCAAUAGGCGAAAGCCUGACGGAACAACGCCGCGUGAGUGGUGAAGGUCUUCGGAUCGUAAAACUCUGUUAUUAGGGAAGAACAAAUGUGUAAGUAACUAUGCACGUCUUGACGGUACCUAAUCAGAAAGCCACGGCUAACUACGUG
rnacentral:rRNA from 1 species